rnacentral:rRNA from 1 species
UACGUAGGUGGCAAGCGAUACUCGGAAUCACUAGGCGUAAAGCGCAGGUAGGCGGUUUGAUAAGUCUGUUGUGAAAGCUCCCGGCUUAACUGGGAGAGGUCAACGGAAACUAUCAGGCUAGAGUGUGGUAGAGGUAGCUGGAAUUCCCGGUGUAGCGGUGAAAUGCGUAGAUAUCGGGAGGAAUACCUAUGGCGAAAGCAGGCUACUGGACCAUCACUGACGCUGAUCUGCGAAAGCUAGGGGAGCAAACAGGA